CGCAGGAUGGCGGAGCUUACCUUGGAUGGCCUCAGGGCCGCAGAGCGCACAGCCUACCUGGCCUCAAGGUCCGCUCCUCUUGGACAGCUUUCUGGAUCCUGGGCCCUGGCGCUGGGCACUCUUAUACGCAAAGUACAUCGAGUGAAUGCACAUCAGGCAUAUAGAAGAUCUGGCAGAAACACGUUUUCUGAUGCCCAUUUCCAGUCAGUAUUUGAAAAGAGGCUGCCACGGUUUUGAUUCUUUCCACCAAAGAUAAACAUCUUUAAUGGAUGAAAACACCGCAGGAAAGCCACCUAAGCAGAUAUGACUUCUCAACUUUUUUUAAGUGAUUUCCAUUCAUCACUAAUUCCAAACAAAACAAUUGCAAACUACCAUAAAAUUAUUAGAAAGUGAAAAUGGGAGGCAUUGGUUAAAUAUGUGUUUUGUAUGCUUCACCAUGUCCUCAAACAUAUUUAAAAAGUUAAUCCACACUUGCUUUAGAUUAAGAAAUAUGUUAACUAUUUCAGGACACUAAGGACCUUACAAAUCUGAAUUAGCUCAGAUUGGCUGCUAUCUCCUCAAUUAUUUUCUGAUAAAUAAGAAACAAACAGUAAAUAGCAACUUCCACAAAAUCUACCAGUAGUACACAAGGGCAGCCAAACUUCAAAAUUCUUGCCACUCAAACUCUAGAUGGUUACUAUUUACUAAAAUGGAAAUAAUAAAAAGACUUUUCUCAAUCUUGUCCUCCAGAAAGAAAAGCCAUAGAGUUCAAACACUAACCAAAAAAAGGGUAAGGAGAAACAUUUAUAUAUUGCUGUUCCUUUUAUUAGUGUCUUCACAUACAACACUCCUCAAUUUUAAACAGCACUUUCUUUCAGAACACAAAACCAAGACAAAAUGGUAGAAAUCAAAGGGUUACAUACAGACUUUGAUUUAAAAGGCACAACCUUUUCAAAAAUGAGAGCUAUCGAUGGAUCACUUAUGAGAACAAA